GGGGACGUGGCGGAAUUGGUAGACGCACUGGAUUUAGGUUCCAGCGCCGCAAGGUGUGAGAGUUCGAGUCUCUCCGUCCCCACCA
rnacentral:tRNA from 3 species